rnacentral:rRNA from 1 species
GGACAAUGGGGGAAACCCUGAUCCAGCCAUCCCGCGUGUGCGAUGAAGGCCUUCGGGUUGUAAAGCACUUUUGGCAGGAAAGAAACGUCAUGGGUUAAUACCCCGUGAAACUGACGGUACCUGCAGAAUAAGCACCGGCUAACUACGUGC